UACGAAGGGAGCUAGCGUUGUUCGGAAUUACUGGGCGUAAAGCGCACGUAGGCGGAUCGAUCAGUCAGGGGUGAAAUCCCAGGGCUCAACCCUGGAACUGCCUUUGAUACUGUCGAUCUGGAGUAUGGAAGAGGUGAGUGGAAUUCCGAGUGUAGAGGUGAAAUUCGUAGAUAUUCGGAGGAACACCAGUGGCGAAGGCGGCUCACUGGUCCAUUACUGACGCUGAGGUGCGAAAGCGUGGGGAGCAAACAGGG
rnacentral:rRNA from 1 species